rnacentral:rRNA from 1 species
AGCGAACGCUGGCGGCAGGCUUAACACAUGCAAGUCGAGCGGGCGUAGCAAUACGUCAGCGGCAGACGGGUGAGUAACGCGUGGGAACGUACCUUUUGGUUCGGAACAACACAGGGAAACUUGUGCUAAUACCGGUUAAGCCCUUACGGGGAAAGAUUUAUCGCCGAAAGAUCGGCCCGCGUCUGAUUAGCUAGUUGGUGAGGUAACGGCUCACCAAGGCGACGAUCAGUAGCUGGUCUGAGAGGAUGAUCAGCCACAUUGGGACUGAGACACGGCCCAAACUCCUACGGGAGGCAGCAGUGGGGAAUAUUGGACAAUGGGGGCAACCCUGAUCCAGCCAUGCCGCGUGAGUGAUGAAGGCCCUAGGGUUGUAAAGCUCUUUUGUGCGGGAAGAUAAUGACGGUACCGCAAGAAUAAGCCCCGGCUAACUUCGUG